rnacentral:lncRNA from 1 species
AAAAUUUUAAGUUACACCACUGACUUUAAAGUAUAAAUUUUUAACAAUAUUAACAGGCUAUAAUCAAAAAUAAUAACAAGCUUAUAAUUUGGAGAUUAAAAUAACAAAAUUACAAAUUUCUUCAACAUAAACACUUUGCUAAUGUUAACCAGUUCUCUUUACAUUAUGCACCACUGCCAAGCACAGCUAACAACUGAUAGUUCUACACAAUUAACUGAUUUAAAGUUAGUUCUCUUUUUCUCAUAUAUUGCCAAGGCUUCUGCUACUCUACCCCUUCUUGGGUUUCUUUCAUUAUUAACUCAGCCUUAUUCCAAUGAAUGUCUAAAUCAUUUAUUAGUGCUCUUUGUGCAAAUGUAGUAAUCACUGCUCUAGUUUCAAUAUCCUGCUUAUGCUCUGAUAUCCUUUUAUUUAACGAAUACUGGUGCAUAAGUGGUAUCCAUUAAGUAAAAGGAUACCGCUUCCACCAAAAGAUCUUGAAAGUGAAAUUUUUCAAAAAUUAAAGUGAAACUGAAGGGGAAAUGAUGAGAUAAUUAGACAGGAGUGCAAAGUUUUAAAAUUUUAAAGAUGAUUCAUUAACUAUUUUAUAUAUUAUAAUGUUUCAUUAACAAAUCAUAAUAAUU